rnacentral:lncRNA from 1 species
UUUCCUCUGGGAGGAGUGGGUGCGAGAAAGACAGAUGGGGCUCCUACAGGCAAUGGCACCAAAGCCAUCUUGCUGCCCGCUUGUCUUCGCUCCUCUUUUUUUGUAAAUUGCCUAGGUGUGCCCACCGUGGGCACAAGAAGGGCAAAACUUGGUCAGUUUUGUUCGUGGUGGAAACCGAGAGGGUGCUCGCGAAGGAAUCCUUGCAGGCAGCUUUCUGGUUUUUCCCUACCGCAAGGAUAACGGGGAGGGUUUCGGUUUACCCUCGUCAGGGUCAAAGACUCAAGUUAUAGCUGCGAGAGGCUGGCUACACAGUAGAACUUCUCCGGAUACUCACUGAGGACUGAGGAUGCUGUCUGGGUCUGCCUCAGGGCGGCUGCCUGCCUGCCUUUAUCCUGGUCCUGCUUCAGGACUCUUAACUAGGAUCUGCUCUAUUUGCGCCGCGGGCCAUGGGUUCGCGACCUGGUUUUCUUUCUCCUGAAUGUGAAUCUGGCUUGCUGUUAGGUUCCGGGAGGAGCAGGCCUAAGCCUUGACCCAGGGGCGUAUACCGAAUUACAGGCGAAAGAAAAGAGAAGGAUUUGAAUAAAUUUGAGUCAGCCUAGUUCAAAGUCUUAAAGUUUGGAGUUGACCAAGGAGUUAGAGAAGACUGAGAAAGGGCGAGAGGGUGCGGGAGGGCUGUUUGAGACCUGGGUAUUCACUAGAGUCUGCAGAAACAACCUUUGGAUGGCAAGCCUUGGCAGUGACCUCCUCCAUCCUCUGCUUCUGGGCCAUCUCUUUUCCUUUCCUGUGUUUGGGGGCAGAGAUUUAAAGUAAGGCUUACCUGGCCAAGCCAGGUUGUCUGCGGGUGACCCUACUAGUGUAGACUUGACUCUGAGCACCAGAAGGUCGCCAGCCUUCCAGCCUAGAGUUAGGGGAAAUCCUAUCUCUACCCUCUUCGAGGACAGGAAUAAGAAAAUGAAUGUGUACAACCUAGGCACUCAGCUCAAUUUCCUGGUGCUUUAGGGCUUGUGCAAGGUAGCCAGGGAGGUGCAAGGGCAGCUGGCCAUCGAUCUGAGCAAAGACCAGAAGCAGCUUUCAUCUUUGACUUGGUAGCACUGAGCCUGCCAGGGCCGAGCUUUUCCAGCAAGUAUUCAUGCCUGGUAGUUAAUCAGUGUGGAACUGAAGUCAUCAGCUCUAGUUGACCUCUGACCUUAGACAGGCCUAUGUCGACUAAGUAUCCUUCACAACAGGCAGACUGUGAUUCCUCAAAUAAAAAUAGUGUCUUUUGCAGCCCUGGCCAUCCCGUCUUCUUGUGACUAUCAAUCACUGAGGCUCCCUGGCACCCCUUUCCUGUCCUCUCAAG